UAGGAUUAGGGGAUGGUAUGGUACAUAUGGAAAGUUUUUAGUUAAUGUUCUAUUGUUUAAUAGAGCUUUCGACGGUUAAAAUAAUGAAAAUAUGCAAGUUACUUAGGUCUUUUUUUAGAUAUAAUGUAUUUUAUGUUGUGUUUUGCAGGAAACUAGGUUUUAGAGCUGAACAAGAGAAAAUAAAAAUUGAAGUGUUUGGAAUAUGUACAUGGGUACCUAUUUGCAUAAGUACUACCUAUAUAUUAGAAAGUGGAAAGUCCAGAGAUCCAGAAGUUGAAGAUUUAAGACUGUCACCUAAGAGUGACUACCUAUGGGUCGUAGGUAGUACCUAUAUCCCAUAGGUGUUAGAAUUCAUAGUGUUCCUAAGAUAUUUUUGACAAUUUUUAACACUAGCACCUAUGUGGGACCAUCUACGAUCCAUCGAUGCUAUCUCCGGCCUAUAAGUGGCCACCGACUCUGAUUUUAGUUUUUUGUUUAGGAUUGGUUUCAUGGGGUUUCCAUGUAUUAUAUAGGUAACCUUUUGAAACAUUUUAGUUAGUUUACGUACUCUUAUUGCUUAAAAACAUAUAUUUGAUUUCAAGGUUAGGUUUUUAGUUUUUGGAUUCUUGUGUUCUUAUUUUUUUUAUUGAUUAUUCAAUUUGAGACUCUGGGUUUUAUU
rnacentral:lncRNA from 1 species